rnacentral:rRNA from 1 species
UACGUAGGGUGCAAGCGUUGUCCGGAAUUAUUGGGCGUAAAGAGCUCGUAGGCGGCCUGUCGCGUCGGCUGUGAAAACCCGAGGCUCAACCUCGGGCCUGCAGUCGAUACGGGCAGGCUAGAGUUCGGUAGGGGAGACUGGAAUUCCUGGUGUGGCGGUGAAAUGCGCAGAUAUCAGGAGGAACACCGGUGGCGAAGGCGGGUCUCUGGGCAGUAACUGACGCUGAGGAGCGAAAGCGUGGGGAGCGAACAGG